rnacentral:rRNA from 1 species
UACGUAGGGUGCGAGCGUUAAUCGGAUUUACUGGGCGUAAAGCGCAUGUAGGCGGGCGACUAAGUCAGGGGUGAAAACCGUGGGCUCAACCUAGGAAUUGCGCUUGUGACUGGCGGGCUCGAGUACGGUAGAGGGGGGUGGAAUUCCUGGUGUAGCAGUGAAAUGCGUAGAGAUCAGGAGGAACACCGAUGGCGAAGGCAGCCCCCUGGGCCUGUACUGACGCUCAUGCACGAAAGCGUGGGGAGCAAACAGG